AUUGAACGCUGGCGGCAGGCCUAACACACGCAAGUCGAACGGUAACAGGAAGAAGCUUGCUUCUUUGCUGACGAGUGGCGGACGGGUGAGUAAUGUCUGGGAAACUGCCUGGUGGAGGGGGAUAACUACUGGAAACGGUAGCUAAUACCGCAUAACGUCGCAAGACCAAAGAGGGGGACCUUCGGGCCUCUUGCCAUCGGAUGUGCCCAGAUGGGAUUAGCUAGUAGGUGGGGUAACGGCUCACCUAGGCGACGAUCCCUAGCUGGUCUGAGAGGAUGACCAGCCACACUGGAACUGAGACACGGUCCAGACUCCUACGGGAGGCAGCAGUGGGGAAUAUUGCACAAUGGGCGCAAGCCUGAUGCAGCCAUGCCGCGUGUAUGAAGAAGGCCUUCGGGUUGUAAAGUACUUUCAGCGGGGAGGAAGGGAGUAAAGUUAAUACCUUUGCUCAUUGACGUUACCCGCAGAAGAAGCACCGGCUAACUCCGUG
rnacentral:rRNA from 1 species